UUAAGAAACAGGUUAACUGGAGAAUAAAGUUUUAAUUUAGUAAAAUUAUAAUUUCGAUUAUAAUAACGGCUAUUUAAAUGAUCCAUGAAACAAUAAGUUUAUUUUUUCAAAAAUUAAUUUAAUCGUACCGAUAACCGCAUCAGGUCUCCAAGGUGAGUAGCUUCUGGCCAUUGAGUAAUGGUAAUUUAGGGAAUUCGGCCAAUUAGAGCUGUAACUUCGGGAUAAAGCUUGGCUCUGAUGGAAAUCAGAACCGAUAGUUACAAGGAGAGCCCAACUGUUUAAUAAAAACUUAGUGUCGCGUCAUACCUUUAUAAGUAAUAAACGUGACAUGAAUCCUGCUCAGUGCUGUGUUUGUUAAACUGGAUUAAUCCAUUUAAGCGCCGGUAAAUAGCUGGGGUAACUAUGACUCUUAUCAAAGUAGCGAAAUACCUCGUCACUUAAUUAGUGACCUGCAUGAACGGAGCUAUGAGGUUCUCACUGUCCCAAAUUAUCACUCAGCGAACCAACAGUUGUGGGAACGGGCACAAAUUAUCCAGCGGGGAAAGAAGACCCUGUAGAGCUUCACUUUGGUCUAAUCUUGUAUAGUUUCGUUAGGGGUGCAGUCUAGGUGGGAGAUUUUUAAUCAAAUAUGAGAAACCACUACCCUUUCUGGAAUUAUACUUACUAAAAUUCUUUUCUAAAUUUUAGGAUCGGAUUAGAUAGAAAGUUUGGCUGGGGCGGCACACCUUCGAAAAAGCAGCGAAGGUGUCCUAAGUUAAGCUCAGUAAGGACAGAAAUCUUACGUUGAGGAUAAGGCCAAAAGCUUAAUUUACUGUGCCUUUUUGUACUAGGAUCAGUUUGGAAACAAAGGCCUAACGAUCCCUAAUUAGUCUUAGGUGUGUAAGACUUGGGGUGACAGACAAGUUACCUCCGGGACAACUGGCUUGUGGCUGCUAAGAGAUCAAAUCAACGCAGCUUUUUGAUUCUUCGAUGUCGGCUCUUCCUAUCCUAGUGAUGUACAAGUCACUAAGGGUUGGAUUGUUCACCCGUAUUAGGGAUCGUGAGCUGGGUUUAGACCGUCGUGAGCCAGGUUUGUUUUAUCCUACUGGAUAUAUUUUAGCAUCUUGAUAGUAGUUUGAUUUAGU
rnacentral:rRNA from 1 species